rnacentral:pre_miRNA from 1 species
GUAUAUUUGUGUUUGGACGGUGGUCAGCACCAGGGACAGGUAUAUUUGUGUUUGGACGGUGGUCAGCACCAGGGACAGGUAUAUUUGUGU